AGUGAACGCUGGCGGUAGGCCUAACACAUGCAAGUCGAACGGCAGCACAGUAAGAGCUUGCUCUUACGGGUGGCGAGUGGCGGACGGGUGAGGAAUACAUCGGAAUCUACUUUUUCGUGGGGGAUAACGUAGGGAAACUUACGCUACUACCGCAUACGACCUACGGGUGAAAGCAGGGGAUCUUCGGACCUUGCGCGAUUGAAUGAGCCGAUGUCGGAUUAGCUAGUUGGCGGGGUAAAGGCCCACCAAGGCGACGAUCCGUAGCUGGUCUGAGAGGAUGAUCAGCCACACUUGAACUGAGACACGGUCCAGACUCCUACGGGAGGCAGCAGUGGGGAAUAUUGGACAAUGGGCGCAAGCCUGAUCCAGCCAUACCGCGUGGGUGAAGAAGGCCUUCGGGUUGUAAAGCCCUUUUGUUGGGAAAGAAAAGCAGCAGGUUAAUACCCCGCUGUUCUGACGGUACCCAAAGAAUAAGCACCGGCUAACUUCGUG
rnacentral:rRNA from 1 species